AGCCCAGAGCCUGAAUCAGUGUGUGUGUUAGUGGAAGCGUCUGGAAAGGCGCGCGAUACAGGGUGACAGCCCCGUACACAAAAAUGCACAUGCUGUGAGCUCGAUGAGUAGGGCGGGACACGUGGUAUCCUGUCUGAAUAUGGGGGGACCAUCCUCCAAGGCUAAAUACUCCUGACUGACCGAUAGUGAACCAGUACCGUGAGGGAAAGGCGAAAAGAACCCCGGCGAGGGGAGUGAAAAAGAACCUGAAACCGUGUACGUACAAGCAGUGGGAGCACGCUUAGGCGUGUGACUGCGUACCUUUUGUAUAAUGGGUCAGCGACUUAUAUUCUGUAGCAAGGUUAACCGAAUAGGGGAGCCGAAGGGAAACCGAGUCUUAACUGGGCGUUAAGUUGCAGGGUAUAGACCCGAAACCCGGUGAUCUAGCCAUGGGCAGGUUGAAGGUUGGGUAACACUAACUGGAGGACCGAACCGACUAAUGUUGAAAAAUUAGCGGAUGACUUGUGGCUGGGGGUGAAAGGCCAAUCAAACCGGGAGAUAGCUGGUUCUCCCCGAAAGCUAUUUAGGUAGCGCCUCGUGAACUCAUCUCCGGGGGUAGAGCACUGUUUCGGCAAGGGGGUCAUCCCGACUUACCAACCCGAUGCAAACUGCGAAUACCGGAGAAUGUUAUCACGGGAGACACACGGCGGGUGCUAACGUCCGUCGUGAAGAGGGAAACAACCCAGACCGCCAGCUAAGGUCCCAAAGUCAUGGUUAAGUGGGAAACGAUGUGGGAAGGCCCAGACAGCCAGGAUGUUGGCUUAGAAGCAGCCAUCAUUUAAAGAAAGCGUAAUAGCUCACUGGUCGAGUCGGCCUGCGCGGAAGAUGUAACGGGGCUAAACCAUGCACCGAAGCUGCGGCAGCGACGCUUAUGCGUUGUUGGGUAGGGGAGCGUUCUGUAAGCCUGUGAAGGUGUACUGUGAGGUAUGCUGGAGGUAUCAGAAGUGCGAAUGCUGACAUAAGUAACGAUAAAGCGGGUGAAAAGCCCGCUCGCCGGAAGACCAAGGGUUCCUGUCCAACGUUAAUCGGGGCAGGGUGAGUCGACCCCUAAGGCGAGGCCGAAAGGCGUAGUCGAUGGGAAACAGGUUAAUAUUCCUGUACUUGGUGUUACUGCGAAGGGGGGACGGAGAAGGCUAUGUUGGCCGGGCGACGGUUGUCCCGGUUUAAGCGUGUAGGCUGGUUUUCCAGGCAAAUCCGGAAAAUCAAGGCUGAGGCGUGAUGACGAGGCACUACGGUGCUGAAGCAACAAAUGCCCUGCUUCCAGGAAAAGCCUCUAAGCAUCAGGUAACAUCAAAUCGUACCCCAAACCGACACAGGUGGUCAGGUAGAGAAUACCAAGGCGCUUGAGAGAACUCGGGUGAAGGAACUAGGCAAAAUGGUGCCGUAACUUCGGGAGAAGGCACGCUGAUAUGUAGGUGAAGCGACUUGCUCGUGGAGCUGAAAUCAGUCGAAGAUACCAGCUGGCUGCAACUGUUUAUUAAAAACACAGCACUGUGCAAACACGAAAGUGGACGUAUACGGUGUGACGCCUGCCCGGUGCCGGAAGGUUAAUUGAUGGGGUCAGCGCAAGCGAAGCUCUUGAUCGAAGCCCCGGUAAACGGCGGCCGUAACUAUAACGGUCCUAAGGUAGCGAAAUUCCUUGUCGGGUAAGUUCCGACCUGCACGAAUGGCGUAAUGAUGGCCAGGCUGUCUCCACCCGAGACUCAGUGAAAUUGAACUCGCUGUGAAGAUGCAGUGUACCCGCGGCAAGACGGAAAGACCCCGUGAACCUUUACUAUAGCUUGACACUGAACAUUGAGCCUUGAUGUGUAGGAUAGGUGGGAGGCUUUGAAGUGUGGACGCCAGUCUGCAUGGAGCCGACCUUGAAAUACCACCCUUUAAUGUUUGAUGUUCUAACGUUGACCCGUAAUCCGGGUUGCGGACAGUGUCUGGUGGGUAGUUUGACUGGGGCGGUCUCCUCCUAAAGAGUAACGGAGGAGCACGAAGGUUGGCUAAUCCUGGUCGGACAUCAGGAGGUUAGUGCAAUGGCAUAAGCCAGCUUGACUGCGAGCGUGACGGCGCGAGCAGGUGCGAAAGCAGGUCAUAGUGAUCCGGUGGUUCUGAAUGGAAGGGCCAUCGCUCAACGGAUAAAAGGUACUCCGGGGAUAACAGGCUGAUACCGCCCAAGAGUUCAUAUCGACGGCGGUGUUUGGCACCUCGAUGUCGGCUCAUCACAUCCUGGGGCUGAAGUAGGUCCCAAGGGUAUGGCUGUUCGCCAUUUAAAGUGGUACGCGAGCUGGGUUUAGAACGUCGUGAGACAGUUCGGUCCCUAUCUGCCGUGGGCGCUGGAGAACUGAGGGGGGCUGCUCCUAGUACGAGAGGACCGGAGUGGACGCAUCACUGGUGUUCGGGUUGUCAUGCCAAUGGCACUGCCCGGUAGCUAAAUGCGGAAGAGAUAAGUGCUGAAAGCAUCUAAGCACGAAACUUGCCCCGAGAUGAGUUCUCCCUGACUCCUUGAGAGUCCUGAAGGAACGUUGAAGACGACGACGUUGAUAGGCCGGGUGUGUAAGCGCAGCGAUGCGUUGAGCUAACCGGUACUAAUGAACCGUGAGGCUUAACCUUACAACGCCGAA
rnacentral:rRNA from 1 species